rnacentral:rRNA from 1 species
ACGUAGGUACCUGCCCUAAAGUGGGGGACAACCUUUGGAAACGAAGGCUAAUACCGCAUAAUCCGGUAACGGAAAGAAUGCUCUGCAUUCGCUUUAGGAUGGACCUGCGGUCUAUCAGCUUGUUGGUAAGGUAACGGCUUACCAAGGCUUCGACGGAUAGCCGGCCCGAGAGGGUGAGCGGCCACACUGGAACUGAGACACGGUCCAGACUCCUACGGGAGGCAGCAGUUAAGAAUCUUGCGCAAUGGGGGCAACCCUGACGCAGCCACGCCGCGUGAACGAUGAAGGCUUUCGGGUUGU